GGCUUGAGAGCUAAGGGACACUCCCGGAAGUGGCCUCUGGCCCGCGCUUUUCCCCUCCGGCGGGCGUUAGCUGCUCCUUAGAACUACGAUUCCCAGAAUUCUAUGGACUAGCAGGGGCGCUUCUUUUCUAUCGACUUGCAGGGCCACACAGUUCGGAGUUACGAAGCAGGGAAGGUAGCGGUAAACGGGAUGAGAGGCUCGGUUGAGGCGGCAUUCUGGGAAAUGGAGUCUAGGAGCAGGAAUGUCUUGGGCUCGCGGACGUCUUGAAUGGGCAGUCCGGAAGCCCAGUCUGCGCAGGCGCAUUAAGCUGUCUGGCCUGGCGGGUGCGUCCUCUUCGCUGGCAGCGCUGGUCGGAUUGCAGACCUCGGGGAAGGUACGUCGGUGCCUAAGGGAUCACGGCACCCUUGGGUGUUUCAGGCUGAGGCUCGAGGUCACCAUGAGCUUCAGGGCUGAGGCUGGAGAUUGAUACAGAGGAACAGAUCCUGGGACUGCUGGCGCCUUUGCAAUUCCUGACCAUCUCUAAGACAGUGAGCAAGGGCUAACCAUGGAGGAUAUGACCCAAAUGAUUGGAGAGAGAGCUCUGCCUUCUCAGGAUGAGAAUCACCCAGAGGAGGAGAUGGCUGCUGUGGUCUUGCCAGCUGGGCCCCAGGUGAGUCAGACUCAAUUCGCCUUCCUUAAAUACCAUUUUCAUUCUCAGCAGAUACUAGUCCUUCCUUCAUCCUGCAGCUUUGUGGCCCAGCUCUCCCUGCCCUCUCCUUGCAGCCUGGGCUCUGGAUUACUGAAUCUAGCUACCUUUUUUCCCCUUCUUUUCUCCCUCAUCUUUUGUGCAUCAUUUGAUACAACAGCUCCUUCUCACUUGAAGCUCCUUACUACGUUAGCCUAAGAGAUGUCACUCUUUAGAUUCUCCUCCUACCUUCCCUCUGCCUCCUUAUUGUGUUCGUGGCUCUUUCCGGGGGUCUGUCCUGGACCUUCUUGACAUUUCUCUGCACUCACAUCCUACACAGCUUUCAGCUGCCACCUCCGUGAAUAUGAGUCCC
rnacentral:lncRNA from 1 species